rnacentral:rRNA from 1 species
UACGUAGGGGGCAAGUGUUAUCCGGAAUUAUUGGGCGUAAAGAGCUCGUAGGCGGCUUGUCACGUCGGAUGUGAAAGCCCGGGGCUUAACCCCGGGUCUGCAUUCGAUACGGGCUAGCUAGAGUGUGGUAGGGGAGAUCGGAAUUCCUGGUGUAGCGGUGAAAUGCGCAGAUAUCAGGAGGAACACCGGUGGCGAAGGCGGAUCUCUGGGCCAUUACUGACGCUGAGGAGCGAAAGCGUGGGGAGCGAACAGG